CGCUGCUUGUUGUUCCAAUUUCUUUUUUGCACGCUGGCUUGGAAUUAGAUCACCAGAAUUGAAAUGAAGAGUUGGCAUGCAGCAAGGUGUCUUCCACUUCCCACACAGAUCCUGGGCAAAUUUGUCAUUCGCUUCUCUUCUCAGUCCCAAAAUAAUAGAAAAAGUUUCUUGCUUCAGUUUACUGGUAGUUCUCCCUGAGACUCAAGAACAGAGCUGAACAAAAGAUGGUGACCAAAUUUUGGAGAGUGUAACAAACUGAUAGGACUGAAAUUCACGAUUAUUGUGCGAAAUACUUGAUAAAGGCUAUGAAGAUAUUUCAGACAGGAUGGCAUGAAGAGGUUUUGUUGAACGUAGGUGCAGUUCCUGAGUAUCAUAAAGCUUUCUCCAUUCCUUCUGCCAUCCUCGCCAGCACACAAAGCCAAGGUAAAAGUCAUUUUGAAGUUUUCUCUUGAGAGGAGUCUAACAAUCACAGAAGAAAUAGGCUUGAAUCUAAUUAAAGGCAACAGAGUUUCUUUGAAGGACCUCCCUACUGCUUGAGGAACAAAGGAGACAAAAAGAGUAACGCCUGUGUGGUUUGCUGUACUUCCAAGGAACUGUGGAAAAACAAAGUGCCACUGGGAGCACUGGAGGGUGCAGAGCAGCACUGUCUCCUCACCAAGCACUUCCUGUCCUCAGAACCCGGCUACUGCUGAGCUGUGUGCCGAGGGUAGCACACUCCCUCUCCAUUACACAUGUUUAGGAGCUACUAGUGUGCUCGUAAUGCAGGCCUGGUCUGGCCCUGAGGCGGAGAGGUGAUGGUACCUCUGAGACCUCAUUUUGCAGAGACCCGCGAGCCUCGCUGAGCUCUGUGGGGCCGCCCUGUAAGGCGGGAAAGUCAGCGCCUCCCUGAGGUGGCACGAUACCUGCUGUGUCCUGAUACCUGACGCCAUUUCAGGAUCGCCCGUGUGACGGCGCUGCCCUGGCAACGUGCCCUCAAUAUGGCCUCCCUGAGGUCUCGUCUGCUCCAGGCACAAAAAUCUGCGAAAAGCAGCCAGUAUUACCCCUGGGUGGGCUCAGGGAAGGGAUUUUAAUGGACAUCCCCGGGCUGCACGAGGCCCGAGCGGUUUGCUGCCUGAAUGCAAGCUGAUUUGCUCCAGGAGAGGCUGCCGGUGUGCUGGCCAAAUGCACUCUGUAAGCAGAAAUGGGAGGAGAGAGGAAAGAAAAAAAUCUUCACCCAUCUCCUUGCUGUUUGUGCUCAAGGUAUGGAUCCUAAUCUCACAUGACUGCAUAAAUCAAGAGCAGCGUUAUUGAUGACUGUAGACUCACGCUGGCAUAAUAGCAA
ensembl:lncRNA